AACGCGAAGAACCUUACCUGGGCUCGAACGGCUGGUUAACGGAGGUGGAAACACUUCUACUCCGCAAGGAGGUCCAGUCGAGGUGCUGCAUGGCUGUCGUCAGCUCGUGUCGUGAGAUGUUGGGUUAAGUCCCGCAACGAGCGCAACCCUUGUCCUGUGUUGCCAUUCCGCAAGGAGGAACUCGCAGGAGACCGCCAGCGAUAAGCUGGAGGAAGGUGGGGAUGACGUCAAGUCCUCAUGGCCUUUAUGUCCAGGGCUACACACGUGCUACAAUGGCCGGUACAAAGCGCUGCUAAGUCGCGAGACGGAGCCAAUCGCAAAAAACCGGUCUCAGUUCGGAUUGCAGGCUGCAACUCGCCUGCAUGAAGCUGGAAUCGCUAGUAAUGGCGUAUCAGAACGAUGCCGUGAAUACGUUCCCGGGUCUUGUACACACCG
rnacentral:rRNA from 1 species